rnacentral:rRNA from 1 species
AGCGUAGGCGGGACGGUAAGUUAGAUGUGAAAACUAUGGGCUCAACCCAUAGACUGCAUUUAAAACUGCUGUUCUUGAGUGAAGUAGAGGUUGGCGGAAUUCCUAGUGUAGCGGUGAAAUGCGUAGAUAUUAGGAGGAACAUCAGUGGCGAAGGCGGCCAACUGGGCUUUUACUGACGCUGAGGCUCGAAAGCGUGGGGAGCAAACAGGAUUAGAUACCCCCGUA